UUGAAGGUAGCUAUGAUCUUGU
rnacentral:siRNA from 1 species